rnacentral:tRNA from 2 species
AAAAAAAGCCGGAAUAGCUCAGUUGGUAGAGCAGAGGACUGAAAAUCCUCGUGU